rnacentral:rRNA from 1 species
CCGGCGAGUGGCGAACGGGUGAGUAAUGCAUCGGAACGUACCCAGUAGUGGGGGAUAACUUACCGAAAGGUAAGCUAAUACCGCAUACGCACUGAGGUGGAAAGCAGGGGACCGCAAGGCCUUGCGCUAUUGGAGCGGCCGAUGUCGGAUUAGCUAGUUGGUGGGGUAAAGGCCUACCAAGGCGACGAUCCGUAGCGGGUCUGAGAGGAUGAUCCGCCACACUGGAACUGAGACACGGUCCAGACUCCUACGGGAGGCAGCAGUGGGGAAUUUUGGACAAUGGGCGCAAGCCUGAUCCAGCCAUGCCGCGUGAGUGAAGAAGGCCUUCGGGUUGUAAAGCUCUUUCGGCCGGGAAGAAAUCGUGGUGGCUAAUACCUGCCAUGGAUGACGGUACCGGACUAAGAAGCACCGGCUAACUACGUGCCAGCAGCCGCGGUAAUACGUAGGGUGCGAGCGUUAAUCGGAAUUACUGGGCGUAAAGCGUGCGCAGGCGGUUGUGUAAGACAGGCGUGAAAUCCCCGGGCUCAACCUGGGAACUGCGCUUGUGACUGCACGGCUAGAGUACGGCAGAGGGGGGUGGAAUUCCACGUGUAGCAAUGAAAUGCGUAAAGAUGUGGAGGAACACCGAUGGCGAAGGCAGCCCCCUGGGUCGAUACUGACGCUCAUGCACGAAAGCGUGGGGAGCAAACAGGAUUAGAUCCCCUGGUAGUCCACGCCCUAUACGAUGUCGACUAGUUGUUGGAUGGGUAAAAUCCCUUUAUAACUGUAGCUAACGCGUGAGGUCGACCGCCUUGGGAGUA